GGGGCUAUAGCGCAGCUGGUAGCGCAUCUGCUUUGCAAGCAGAGGGUCCCCGGUUCGAACCCGGGUAGCUCCACCC
rnacentral:tRNA from 1 species